rnacentral:rRNA from 3 species
GAGUUUGAUCAUGGCUCAGAUUGAACGCUGGCGGCAGGCCUAACACAUGCAAGUCGAACGGUAACAGGAAGAAGCUUGCUUCUUUGCUGACGAGUGGCGGACGGGUGAGUAAUGUCUGGGAAACUGCCUGAUGGAGGGGGAUAACUACUGGAAACGGUAGCUAAUACCGCAUAACGUCGCAAGACCAAAGAGGGGGACCUUCGGGCCUCUUGCCAUCGGAUGUGCCCAGAUGGGAUUAGCUUGUUGGUGGGGUAACGGCUCACCAAGGCGACGAUCCCUAGCUGGUCUGAGAGGAUGACCAGCCACACUGGAACUGAGACACGGUCCAGACUCCUACGGGAGGCAGCAGUGGGGAAUAUUGCACAAUGGGCGCAAGCCUGAUGCAGCCAUGCCGCGUGUAUGAAGAAGGCCUUCGGGUUGUAAAGUACUUUCAGCGGGGAGGAAGGGAGUAAAGUUAAUACCUUUGCUCAUUGACGUUACCCGCAGAAGAAGCACCGGCUAACUCCGUGCCAGCAGCCGCGGUAAUACGGAGGGUGCAAGCGUUAAUCGGAAUUACUGGGCGUAAAGCGCACGCAGGCGGUUUGUUAAGUCAGAUGUGAAAUCCCCGGGCUCAACCUGGGAACUGCAUCUGAUACUGGCAAGCUUGAGUCUCGUAGAGGGGGGUAGAAUUCCAGGUGUAGCGGUGAAAUGCGUAGAGAUCUGGAGGAAUACCGGUGGCGAAGGCGGCCCCCUGGACGAAGACUGACGCUCAGGUGCGAAAGCGUGGGGAGCAAACAGGAUUAGAUACCCUGGUAGUCCACGCCGUAAACGAUGUCGACUUGGAGGUUGUGCCCUUGAGGCGUGGCUUCCGGAGCUAACGCGUUAAGUCGACCGCCUGGGGAGUACGGCCGCAAGGUUAAAACUCAAAUGAAUUGACGGGGGCCCGCACAAGCGGUGGAGCAUGUGGUUUAAUUCGAUGCAACGCGAAGAACCUUACCUGGUCUUGACAUCCACAGAACUUUCCAGAGAUGGAUUGGUGCCUUCGGGAACUGUGAGACAGGUGCUGCAUGGCUGUCGUCAGCUCGUGUUGUGAAAUGUUGGGUUAAGUCCCGCAACGAGCGCAACCCUUAUCCUUUGUUGCCAGCGGUCCGGCCGGGAACUCAAAGGAGACUGCCAGUGAUAAACUGGAGGAAGGUGGGGAUGACGUCAAGUCAUCAUGGCCCUUACGACCAGGGCUACACACGUGCUACAAUGGCGCAUACAAAGAGAAGCGACCUCGCGAGAGCAAGCGGACCUCAUAAAGUGCGUCGUAGUCCGGAUUGGAGUCUGCAACUCGACUCCAUGAAGUCGGAAUCGCUAGUAAUCGUGGAUCAGAAUGCCACGGUGAAUACGUUCCCGGGCCUUGUACACACCGCCCGUCACACCAUGGGAGUGGGUUGCAAAAGAAGUAGGUAGCUUAACCUUCGGGAGGGCGCUUACCACUUUGUGAUUCAUGACUGGGGUGAAGUCGUAACAAGGUAACCGUAGGGGAACCUGCGGUUGGAUCACC